CGGGGGNCNGCACAAGCGGCGGAGCAUGUUGNUNAAUUNGANGCNANGCGAAGAACCNUNCCAAGGUUUGACAUCACCCGUGGACUCGCAGAGAUGUGAGGUCAUUUAGUUGGCGGGUGACAGGUGGUGCAUGGCUGUCGUCAGCUCGUGUCGUGAGAUGUUGGGUUAAGUCCCGCAACGAGCGCAACCCUUGUUCCAUGUUGCCAGCACGUAAUGGUGGGGACUCAUGGGAGACUGCCGGGGUCAACUCGGAGGAAGGUGGGGAUGACGUCAAGUCAUCAUGCCCCUUAUGUCUUGGGCUGCAAACAUGCUACAAUGGCCGGUACAAUGGGCGUGCGAUACCGUAAGGUGGAGCGAAUCCCUAAAAGCCGGUCUCAGUUCGGAUUGGGGUCUGCAACUCGACCCCAUGAAGGUGGAGUCGCUAGUAAUCGCGGAUCAGCAACGCCGCGGUGAAUACGUUCCCGGGCCUUGUACACACCGCCUGUCACGUCAUGAAAGUCGGCAACACCCGAAACUUGCGGCCUAACCCCUUGUGGGAGGGAGUGAGUGAAGGUGGG
rnacentral:rRNA from 1 species